rnacentral:rRNA from 1 species
AUACGUAGGGUGCGAGCGUUGUCCGGAAUUACUGGGCGUAAAGAGCUCGUAGGUGGUUUGUCGCGUCGUCUGUGAAAUUCCGGGGCUUAACUCCGGGCGUGCAGGCGAUACGGGCAUCACUUGAGUACUGUAGGGGAGACUGGAAUUCCUGGUGUAGCGGUGAAAUGCGCAGAUAUCAGGAGGAACACCGGUGGCGAAGGGGGGUCUCUGGGCAGUAACUGACGCUGAGGAGCGAAAGCAUGGGUAGCGAACAGGAUUAGAUACCCUGGUAGUCCAUGCCGUAAACGGUGGGCGCUAGGUGUAGGGGUCUUCCACGACUUCUGUGCCGUAGCUAACGCAUUAAGCGCCCCGCCUGGGGAGUACGGCCGCAAGGCUAAAACUCAAAUGAAUUGACGGG